CAGAUAAGCAAACAAAAUAUUAAGCAAUAAACAAAUUUCUAACCUACACAUUACCAAAUGAAGAAACUUCCAACAACCUUAAUUAUUGCAUUAACUGGUACCAUAUAAUAAAAUCUUUUUCGGCACAAAAAUUUUAGGCAUGAAUUGA